rnacentral:rRNA from 1 species
CAGCACCUCAAGUGGUCAGGAUGAUUAUUGGGCCUAAAGCAUCCGUAGCCGGCUCUGUAAGUUUUCGGUUAAAUCUGUACGCUCAACGUACAGGCUGCCGGGAAUACUGCAGAGCUAGGGAAUGGGAGAGGUAGACGGUACUCGGUAGGAAGGGGUAAAAUCCUUUGAUCUAUUGAUGACCACCUGUGGCGAAGGCGGUCUACCAGAACACGUCCGACGGUGAGGGAUGAAAGCUGGGGGAGCAAACCGGAUUAGAUACCCGAGUAGUCC